GGGUGUAUGGCUCAGUGUUAGAGCGCAUGUCUACCAUGCACAAGGUCCUGGGUUCAAUUCCCAGUACCUCCA
rnacentral:tRNA from 1 species